CGACUACAUAUCAGGCAUAUCAAUAAGCGGAGGAAAAGAAACUAACUAGGAUUCCCUUAGUAACGGCGAGUGAAGCGGGAAGAGCUCAAAUUUGAAAUCUUCAAGGUUUUACCUUGACGAAUUGUAGUUUAAAGAAGUGUUUUCUGUUGAGUUUCGGUAAAAGUUCUUUGGAAUAGGACAUCAUAGAGGGUGAGAAUCCCGUAUUUGACCGUUAUUUUCAGCUGUGUGAUACACUUUCAAAGAGUCGGAUUGUUUGGGAAUGCAGUCCAAAAUGGGUGGUAAAUUUCAUCUAAAGCUAAAUAUUGGCGAGAGACCGAUAGCGAACAAGUACCGUGAGGGAAAGAUGAAAAGAACUUUGAAAAGAGAGUUAAACAGUACGUGAAAUUGUCAAAAGGGAAGCGUUUGACACCAGAGUUGUUUUCUCGAAAAUCAAUUAAAAAUGGCUUGAUUUUGUGUUGUAUUGACCUUAAAAGCUUUCUGCACUUUUUUCAUGUCUUUUUUAAUGCACUUUUCGUUUAACAAGUCAACAUCAGUUUCUUUUGUUGUAAAAAGGUCAUUGGAAGGUGGCUUUCUUUUCGGAGAAAGUGUUUAUAGCCUUUGACUCCUGCAAUCGGAGAGACUGAGGUCUGCAGCGUAGAUCCUUCUUGGAUUAGAUUCAUUUGUGCUAAGUUAUAGCUUUUCAUAGGCAACUUGUUGACUAUGUUUAGUCUUGUAGCUUACUCGCUUAUGCUAUUUUACCUACGCUUAGGAUGUUGA
rnacentral:rRNA from 1 species